GACGAACGCUGGCGGCGUGCUUAACACAUGCAAGUCGAACGAAGUGGCGAACGGGUGAGUAACGCGUAAUCAACCUGCCCUUCAGAGGGGGACAACAGUUGGAAACGACUGCUAAUACCGCAUACUGAAGGAGGGGAUUGCGUCUGAUUAGCUGGUUGGCGGGGUAAAGGCCCACCAAGGCGACGAUCAGUAGCGGGUCUGAGAGGAUGAUCCGCCACACUGGGACUGAGACACGGCCCAGACUCCUACGGGAGGCAGCAGUGGGGAAUUUUGGACAAUGGGCGCAAGCCUGAUCCAGCCAUGCCGCGUGAGUGAAGAAGGUUUUCGGAUCGUAAAACUCUGUUGUUAGAGAAGCGGUAUCUAACCAGAAAGCCACGGCUAACUACGUGCCAGCAGCCGCGGUAAUUC
rnacentral:rRNA from 1 species